rnacentral:piRNA from 1 species
UACUAAACAAGGGAAGUGAUCGUUGUGUA